GGUUCCUCCUCUUCCUGGGUGUAAACUGCGAUUCAAAAAGCCAGCCUGAAUUUUCAUGGCCAUGGGACAAAGAACCCCGUCUUUAGCUGAAUUAAGGAAAAGUUCUGCAACAUUUUUGACGUGCAACUUGGGGGCUCAAGCGGAGAAGCGGACGGAUCAGCAGCUCCCUGCCACUGUCCCCUCCCUGCCAGGGCUGGGACACAUGGCUCAAGGCGCUGCAGAAGGCUGGCUGGCGUUUUCUACCAUGUGCCCAUGGAAUCUCCUCCCACAGUCAGGGAGCCCAGCUCCAACCCACAGCAAUUACACUUCUCCCCCUGGUGAAGGAAACACUUGCAUAAGAAUAAGAGGUUCUUCCACAGGCAUUUUAAAACCUUUUUUCUUUCCUCUUCUCCACAAUAUCAGCAUUUAAGUUUAAGCAAGUUUUUUUAUUUCUAGAAGACAUUUUACUAGGCAAGGAAUGAUAAGAAUCCCUGUGUAUAUUCUCUAUUAAGCUUUAAUUGUGAAAAAGGAUUUGUAGGGCUAGUCUUGGGCUGUGGCCAAUCUGGUAUGCUUCCUGUGUCUGUAUGGUUUGUGCUGUAAGCCUCCAUCUUGUUUUACACAUCCUGGGGACAUGGCCCACAACUGCUUGACAGGACUUUGUUUAGCAGUCCUGCCUUAGGGGAUCAGCCCUCUCUGGCCAAUAUCUGCAUGUUUUCCUACUCCUGUCUCUUAAAGGGCCCCACCCAGCGACUGGAUUUUCUUCUGCCUCUCUGUGUGGGUACUGUGUGUGAUAUCUGUAAAAAGUGCGCUAAUUAAUUUGGCCUAAAGAAAGACAAGAACUUGGAUCAAAUUUUUUUUAAGGGAAGUUAAAAGCUGUGGUACCUUUCAGUUCACAUGACUUUAAUCUCUGAGAAAUAAAAACAGCCCUAAAGACUAUUGGUAAAAUGCAGGUGAGAUGCAAGGUUUUCUAAGUGUUUUGAGGUUAAAAACUGCUUUUUGGGUUUUGAGAACUAUUUGACUUGAAGGCUUCACAAUUGGUAAGGCCUGGGGACAUAUGGAAAUAACCACGCUCUUAAUUAUGCUGGGAGUCAAACCUUGGCUGCACCUAGCACACAAUUAAACAACUUACCAAGUUUUUACCUUAAAAGUUAAAAAUUGCUAGGAGUUACUAUUCCGAGAUGUAAUUGAGACUACAGGAAAUAGAUUUAUAUGCAAGAUGUGUAAGAACAGUAAAAUGUGGUGUUUUUUUGUAAAAUAUUAUAAGAAGGCAUGGAAAUGUAUACUUUUGCUUAGGGUUAAAGGAUUGUUUAAAUUAGGAAAAAGCUGAAGGUUCAAACAAGUGGUGGAGAAUUGUGGAAAUUAAUCUUGCAGAAGAGGUUCAACAUAUUAACUAAAUUCAAAAGGGUUAUAAGGUUAUAAAAGGUUUUUGCUUCUUUGAAAUUUCUGAGUCAUCCUUUUGGCAAAAUAAAUAACUUAAUGGCAAUUUGGAACUCUGUUUCAUAAUAUCAAGUGUUUUAAACCUCAAACAUGUUUGACAGCCUUCCCAAAAUCAAACUUUGGUUUCAAAACUGUCUUCCCUGGCACUUGGCUUUUGGAAUACUUCAGAGGGCCCCUGAAGUGUCCAGAAAAGAGAGGUAAACAGGGUUAUUUGACAUGUUUAGGUACAUGGAUUGCCAAAAUGAUGUUCAAUCUUCUUUAGGUUAUAUCUUGGUAAAUAAUGCUAAUAUAUGUUCCAAAAUUGUAUGGGACUUCUAAAAUUCUAAUGUCUAAGUAUUUGCUACCAAUCGUAAUUAAGGUUGUUAUGUUAAGUUAUUGUAAACCACGGAGACAACCAAACUUCUUUUUCCAUCGUGUUUCUAACUGUAAGUACCUUGGACAUUUUUCUAUUCACAGAAAAUUGUCUUGUUUUAAUCCUUUUCAAAAGAUGGUUUAUAAUAAGCUAUAUGACUUUAACAGGCACUCUCAAAUAUAGGCUUCUGGUAACUUUGGAGAUGGUAACAUUGGAAUAGAAGAAAAUGUACAGGACACAUAAAGAGCUGAAAUGCUCAAGAAUAUCAAGCAAAACAAGAGUUAACUAAAUGGACUGAACUCAGAAAGCUGAAGCAAACUUUUUGACUUUUGCUUGGAAUAUUGCUGAUACUUGUUUUGUUUUUCAGAGUCAAGGAAAUUAUUUUGAACUGUUUACAGGAACGAUAAACCAAAAGUGUUUUAUACAUUUUUGCUCUUUGAAUUACUUCAUUAUUAACUUAUCUGCAAAAUUCCCUGAGAAUAUUUUAACAUUAUAGAGAAGCACUGUAAAACCUUGAUAAAUUACCCUUAAAUAUUUACCUAAAUUAGAUAGGAGCAGAUAAGAAAUAUCUCUACCAUCAACUUUCAGAUAUAACCAAAUAAAUGAACAUAUUCAGAAGAAAAAA
ensembl:lncRNA LINC01036 long intergenic non-protein coding RNA 1036